GCCUUCGUGGCCUAGCGGAUAAGGCGUCGGCCUCCUAAGCCGAAAAUUGCGGGUUCGAAUUCCGUGGGAGGUA
rnacentral:tRNA from 1 species